UACGUAGGGUGCAAGCGUUGUCCGGAAUUACUGGGCGUAAAGCGCACGUAGGCGGUCUUUUAAGUCGGGGGUGAAAUCCUGGAGCUCAACUCCAGAACUGCCUUCGAUACUGGAAGACUUGAGUCCGGGAGAGGUGAGUGGAAUUCCCAGUGUAGAGGUGAAAUUCGUAGAUAUUGGGAAGAACACCGGUGGCGAAGGCGGCGACCUGGUCCUUAACUGACGCUGAGGCGCGAAAGCGUGGGGAGCAAACAGG
rnacentral:rRNA from 1 species